UGUGCAAAGGUAGCAUAAUCAUUUGGCUUAUAAUUGAAGUCUGGCAUGAAGGAAUCAAUGGGGAGCUUCUGUCUCCUAUAUUUAUUUAAAAAUUACUUAUUAGGUGAAAAUACCUAAAUUUAAAUAAAAGACGAGAAGACCCUAGAAAUUUACUUUAACGUAAUGUUACAUUAUAUCAUUUUGUUGGGGCGACAGAAUAACAUUUAACUUAUUUUACAUAAUUUGCACUAUUUAUUGUGAAAAAUUAAAUUACUCUAGGGAUAACAGCAUAAUUUGGAAGAGUUUGUGACCUCGAUGUUGGACUAGGAUCUUUAGUACCCAGAAGGUGCUAAAAUUAGCUCUGUUCGAGCAUUAAUUCCUACAUGAUCUGAGUUCAAAUCGA
rnacentral:rRNA from 1 species